GAUGAACGCUGGCGGCGUGCCUAAUACAUGCAAGUCGAGCGAACAGACGAGGAGCUUGCUCCUCUGACGUUAGCGGCGGACGGGUGAGUAACACGUGGAUAACCUACCUAUAAGACUGGGAUAACUUCGGGAAACCGGAGCUAAUACCGGAUAAUAUAUUGAACCGCAUGGUUCAAUAGUGAAAGACGGUUUUGCUGUCACUUAUAGAUGGAUCCGCGCCGCAUUAGCUAGUUGGUAAGGUAACGGCUUACCAAGGCAACGAUGCGUAGCCGACCUGAGAGGGUCAUCGGCCACACUGGCACUGAGACACGGUCCAGACUCCUACGGGAGGCAGCAGUAGGGACUCUUCCGCAAUGGGCGAGAGCCUGACGGAGCAACGCCGCGUGAGUGAUGACGGUCUUCGGAUCCUAAAACUCUGUUAUUAGGGAAGAACAAAUGUGUAAGUAACUAUGCACGUCUUGACGGUACCUAAUCAGAAAGCCACGGCUAACUACGUG
rnacentral:rRNA from 1 species